GUGCCAGCCGCCGCGGUAAUACGAAGGGGGCUAGCGUUGCUCGGAAUUACUGGGCGUAAAGGGCGCGUAGGCGGAUGUUUAAGUCAGAGGUGAAAGCCCAGGGCUCAACCUUGGAACUGCCUUUGAUACUGGGCAUCUUGAGUACGGGAGAGGUGAGUGGAACUCCGAGUGUAGAGGUGAAAUUCGUAGAUAUUCGGAAGAACACCAGUGGCGAAGGCGACUCACUGGCCCGUUACUGACGCUGAGGCGCGAAAGCGUGGGGAGCAAACAGGAUUAGAAACCCUUGUAGUCC
rnacentral:rRNA from 1 species